GGGGUAUGGCGGAAUUGGUAGACGCUACGGACUUAAAAUCCGUUGGCUUUAUUGACCGUGAGGGUUCAAGUCCCUCUACCCCCAAAAUU
rnacentral:tRNA from 2 species